rnacentral:sRNA from 1 species
UUACAGCACCAAAACUUUGUCCACACGUCGUGCUUGCACGUAAGUGGGGACAAGAGUUUCUGGCGCGCCCCACAUGAGCAAGUAGUGGGGUAGGGGCCCCGCGGAUUGCGAAUGGAGGGCAGGAUUGUGGGAGCGCGAAGCGCGGAGCAAUCCGUAA